rnacentral:misc_RNA from 1 species
UCUCCGUUGGUGAACCAGCGGAGGGAUCAUUACCGAGUUUACAACUCCCAAACCCCUAUGUGAACGUUACCAAACUGUUGCCUCGGCGGGAAAUUCAUGCCCCGGGCGCGUCGCAGCCCCGGACCAAGGCGCCCGCCGGAGGACCAACCAAAACUCUUUUGUAUGUCCCUCGCGGACUUUUAUAAUUCUGAACCAUCUCGGCGCCCCUAGCGGGCGUUUCGAAAAUGAAUCAAAACUUUUAACAACGGAUCUCUUGGUUCUG